rnacentral:lncRNA from 1 species
GCAUCUCCCUCCCCUCUCCUGCUACUCCUCCAUCCUUGUCCCUACUCCCCCCAACAGCCCUGUUGAAUAGUUCCCUUCUCUUUAGUCCCCACCUUCAGCCCUCCCACCCACCCUCAGCCAUACCAGGUGAGCCACCAAUCUCAUCGUGGGGAAAGGUUCCCCUACUGCUACCAGCAUUCAGAAGUUCCAGGGCCGUGGGCACCUGGAAACUUGACCUUACAAACAAGGACUGCAGAACCAUGGAGCCAAUACGAAGUGCCUCUCUGUUGACGUCCGUGCUGCCUGGGUCUCGGCCGGUGAUCCUAACUGGGCAGGAACCCAGAGAGUUCUAGAGAAGUCAGCCCCCUAAGGACACCAGUAUUUCUCGGUUCACAGGGGUGGCCUGGAAGGGUCCAGAGUAAAGCCCUAGCUCUUGGGUGGAAAGAAUACACGUGGACACGUUGCGU